rnacentral:rRNA from 1 species
GCAAUCUGCCCUGCACUCUGGGACAAGCCCUGGAAACGGGGUCUAAUACCGGAUAUGACCACCGGCCGCAUGGUCUGGUGGUGGAAAGCUCCGGCGGUGCAGGAUGAGCCCGCGGCCUAUCAGCUUGUUGGUGGGGUGAUGGCCUACCAAGGCGACGACGGGUAGCCGGCCUGAGAGGGCGACCGGCCACACUGGGACUGAGACACGGCCCAGACUCCUACGGGAGGCAGCAGUGGGGAAUAUUGCACAAUGGGCGCAAGCCUGAUGCAGCGACGCCGCGUGAGGGAUGACGGCCUUCGGGUUGUAAACCUCUUUCAGCAGGGAAGAAGCGCGAGUGACGGUACCUGCAGAAGAAGCACCGGCUAACUACGUGCCAGCAGCCGCGGUAAUACGUAGGGUGCGAGCGUUGUCCGGAAUUAUUGGGCGUAAAGAGCUCGUAGGCGGCCUGUCGCGUCGGAUGUGAAAGCCCGGGGCUUAACCCCGGGUCUGCAUUCGAUACGGGCAGGCUAGAGUUCGGCAGGGGAGAUUGGAAUUCCUGGUGUAGCGGUGAAAUGCGCAGAUAUCAGGAGGAACACCGGUGGCGAAGGCGGAUCUCUGGGCCGAUACUGACGCUGAGGAGCGAAAGCGUGGGGAGCGAACAGGAUUAGAUACCCUGGUAGUCCACGCCGUAAACGUUGGGCACUAGGUGUGGGCGGCAUUCCACGUCGUCCGUGCCGCAGCUAACGCAUUAAGUGCCCCGCCUGGGGAGUACGGCCGCAAGGCUAAAACUCAAAGGAAUUGA